AUCAAAUCCAUGGUUGGCUGGUGAUGAGGUUACACUCGCAGAUAUUUGUUGUGUGUCUACAGUGAGUUCCAUGGAUGCGGUUCUACCUAUUGAUGCUAAUACAUACCCGAAUCUCGCAUCCUGGAUGGAUCUGUGCUCACAACAACAGUUUUAUGUAGCGGGGAACUUGCCUGGCUUGGAACAAUUCCAGGGUCUGGUGAAACAUAAGUUGGGUUAAAUGCUGGAGACAUAUAUUUGUCUUGGAUAACGUCACAUACGCUAAUAGAAGAAAUUUUAUGUUGCUUUCAUAACUACAAGUUUCAUGACGACAAUGAUUUUGUUUACAUUAGAUCCCAAUAUAUAUUUUUUUGUCCAUUUGCGUCAUGUUUGUCAUCGGUAACAAAAUUUUUGACCUGUCCAUUAUUAAUUUAUUGCUGAAAACUUGUACGCAUUUUAAAAUAUAGCUUGUUGUUACAAUAGGUUAAGCUUCUUUUUAAGUUUCAAUUAAAUAUUUUUGCUUGUAGGAA